rnacentral:rRNA from 2 species
GGACUACCCGGGUAUCUAAUCCUGUUUGCUCCCCACGCUCUCGUGCCUCAGUGUCAGUGUCAAUCCAGGUAGUCGCCUUCGCCACUGAUGUUCCUUCCGAUAUCUACGCAUUUCACCGCUACACCGGAAAUUCCACUACCCUCUAUCGCACUCCAGCUAUGCAGUCUAAUCUGCAAUUCCCAGGUUAAGCCCGGGGAUUUCACAGCUCACUUACAUAACCACCUACGCACCCUUUACGCCCAGUAAUUCCGAUUAACGCUUGCACCCUCUGUAUUACCGCGGCUGCUGGCAC